rnacentral:rRNA from 1 species
AAAUGAAUAGACGGGGGCUCACACAAGCGGUGGAGCAUGUGGAUCAAUUCGAAGCAACGCGAAGAACCUUACCUGGGUUUGACAUUCACGGAUGCCGUCCUGGAAACAGGAGCCGGUUGCCUUCGGGUGAAACGUGGACAGGUGCUGCAUGGCUGUCGUCAGCUCGUGCUGUGAAGUGUCGGGUUAAGUCCCUUAACGAGCGAAACCCUUGUCGCUAGUUGCCAGCGGGUCAUGCCGGGAACUCUAGCGAGACUGCCGGCGUUAAGCCGGAGGAAGGUGGGGAUGACGUCAAGUCAUCAUGGCCUUUAUGCCCAGGGUGUCACACGUGCUACAAUGGGGCGUACAGAGCGACGCGAGACCGUAAGGUGGAGCAAAUCGCAGAAAACGUCCCUCAGUUCGGAUUGAGGUCUGCAACCCGACCUCAUGAAGCCGGAAUCGCUAGUAAUCGCGCAUCAGCCAUGGCGCGGUGAAUGAGUUCCUGAGCCUUGUACACACCGCCCGU